rnacentral:rRNA from 1 species
UACGGGGGGAGCAAGCGUUGUUCGGAUUUACUGGGCGUAAAGGGCGCGUAGGCGGCCAGCACAAGUCAGUUGUGAAAUCCUCCGGGCUUAACUCGGGAAAGGUCAACUGAUACUGUGCGGCUAGAGUGCAGAAGGGGGCAACUGGAAUUCUCGGUGUAGCGGUGAAAUGCGUAGAUAUCGAGAGGAACACCUGCGGCGAAGGCGGGUUGCUGGGCUGACACUGACGCUGAUGCGCGAAAGCCAGGGGAGCGAACGGG